rnacentral:tRNA from 1 species
UCUAAGUUGGCAGAAAUCAAUGCAAUGAGCUUAAAACUCAAACAUAAAGAAAUUUAUUUAGAU